GGCUGAUUAAAGAAGAUUACGAGCGAGCGAGAGGGGGAGAGGAGAGUGUGUGCUGGCAGCACACUCUGGUCACCACAGCAAUGGCUUCACCAUGGAAACACUGCAGCAUUCUCCUCCUCUCUCUCCUUCUCCUCCAUCUUCAAUCGUCCACUUGCCUCGACCGACAAGCUGCUGCCAGUGUUGCUGUCUCUCCAGUCCAUGAUGAAGGGAUUGCACAGAGUGAUGGAGGGAUGUGGAUGGAGGAGGGUUUGAUGUCUGCAGACCACCCAUUUAGACGACUGCAGUCUCCAGAUGUGUCACGGAGGAAAUUACUUCAGGUGCCAGGAGCUGCAGUUCCCUUCCCUCCCCUCAAGGUGGCGUUGUCUCCAGACGAUUAACCAGCUACUGUAACAAUGCACACCACACACACACACACACACACACACACACACACACACACACACACACACACACACACACAUAUACACACACACACACACACACACACACACACACACACACACACACAGAGACACACACACGCCAACCCACGACCUUUUCCUUAACAUAACUGCGUCAAAAGGGGA
rnacentral:lncRNA from 1 species